GGAAGGCAUUCGUAUCCGGUGGUGCGGCUGGGCUUCAAACCCAGUAGGGGACGUCAGCCGUUCCCUUGUAGGUUCGACUCCUGCUGCCUUCCG
rnacentral:tRNA from 1 species